GUAAGGAAUAUUGGUCAAUGGACGAAAGUCUGAACCAGCCAUGCCGCGUGGAGGAUGAAGGUCCUCUGGAUUGUAAACUUCUUUUAUAUGGGACGAAAAUGGGGCUUUCUAGCUCAACUGACGGUACCAAAUGAAUAAGCACCGGCUAACUCCGUGCCAGCAGCCGCGGUAAUUCGGAGGUUGCAAGCGUUAUCCGGAUUCACUGGGUUUAAAGGGUGCGUAGGUGGAUUGGUAAGUCAGAGGUGAAAUCUCCGGGCUCAACUCGGGAACUGCAUUUGUUACUAUCAAUCUUGAAUAUUGUGGAGGGUAGCGGAAUAUGUCAUGUAGCGGUGAAAUGCUUAGAUAUGACAUAGAACACCAAUUGCGAAGGCAGCUAGCUACACAUAUAUUGACACUGAGGCACGAAAGCGUGGGGAUCAAACAGGAUUAGAUACCCUGGUAGUCC
rnacentral:rRNA from 1 species